UGCGUAGGCGGUCUAAUAAGUCAAAGGUGAAAGCUCGGCGCUUAACGUCGGAAUUGCCUUUGAUACUGUUAGACUUGAAUCAGGUUGAGGUAAGCGGAAUGUGACAUGUAGCGGUGAAAUGCAUAGAUAUGUCAUAGAACACCAAUUGCGAAGGCAGCUUACUGGACCUGUAUUGACGCUGAGGCACGAAAGCGUGGGGAGCGAACAGGAUUAGAUACCCUGGUAGUCC
rnacentral:rRNA from 1 species